UCAACGGCCGCGGUAUCCCUAACCGUGCAAAGGUAGCGUAAUCACUUGUCCUUUAAAUAAGGACCAGUAUGAAAGGCUAAACGAGGCCCUAUCUGUCUCUUACAGAUAAUCAGUGAAAUUGAUCCUCUCGUGCAAAAGCGAGAAUACAAAUAUAAGACGAGAAGACCCUGUGGAACUUCAAAUAAAGCAUCAAAUUAACCAAACCAUACCCCUAUAAAGGGACAUAAAUCACUUUAACACCUGAUACAUAUUUUUGGUUGGGGCGACCUCGGAGUAAAACAAAACCUCCGAAAAAAGAACACACUCCUUACCUAGAAAAACAACCCAAAGUGCCCACUGCAAAAUGAUCCAAUCCAUUUGAUCAACGAACCAAGCUACCCCAGGGAUAACAGCGCAAUACCGUCACAGAGUCCCUAUCGACGACGGAGUUUACGACCUCGAUGUUGGAUCAGGACAUCCUAAUGGUGCAACAGCUAUUAAGGGUUCGUUUGUUCAACGAUUAAAGUCCUACGUGAUCUGAGUCA
rnacentral:rRNA from 1 species